rnacentral:rRNA from 1 species
UCGGGGGGAAAGAACAACAGGGAUUGCCCCAGUAACGGCGAGUGAAGCGGCAACAGCUCAAAUUUGAAAUCUGGCCUCCGGGUCCGAGUUGUAAUUUGUAGAGGAUGCUUUUGGCGAGGUGCCUUCCGAGUUCCCUGGAACGGGACGCCAUAGAGGGUGAGAGCCCCGUCUGGUCGGACACCGAGCCUCUGUAAAGCUCCUUCGACGAGUCGAGUAGUUUGGGAAUGCUGCUCAAAAUGGGAGGUAUAUGUCUUCUAAAGCUAAAUAUUGGCCAGAGACCGAUAGCGCACAAGUAGAGUGAUCGAAAGAUGAAAAGCACUUUGAAAAGAGGGUUAAAAAGUACGUGAAAUUGUUGAAAGGGAAGCGCCUAUGACCAGACUUGGGCCCGGUGAAUCAUCCAGCGUUCUCGCUGGUGCACUUUGCCGGGCACAGGCCAGCAUCAGUUUGGCGCGGGGGAUAAAGGUUUUGGGAAUGUGGCUCCCUCGGGAGUGUUAUAGCCCAUUGCGUAAUACCCUGCGCCGGACUGAGGUACGCGCAUCGCAAGGAUGCUGGCGUAAUGGUCAUCAGCGACCCGUCUUGAAACACGGACCAAGGAGUCGUCUUCGUAUGCGAGUGUUCGGGUGUCAAACCCCUACGCGUAAUGAAAGUGAACGCAGGUGAGAGCUUCGGCGCAUCAUCGACCGAUCCUGAUGUUCUCGGAUGGAUUUGAGUAAGAGCAUACGGGGCCGGACCCGAAAGAAGGUGAACUAUGCCUGUAUAGGGUGAAGCCAGAGGAAACUCUGGUGGAGGCUCGCAGCGGUUCUGACGUGCGAAUCGAUCGUCAAAUAUGGGCAUGGGGGCGAAAGACUAAUCGAACCUUCUAGUAGCUGGUUUCCGCCGAAGUUCCCCCCUCAGGAA